rnacentral:rRNA from 1 species
UACAGAGGGGGCAAGCGUUAUUCGGAAUUAUUGGGCGUAAAGGGCGCGUAGGCGGCAUGGCAGGUGGAUGGUGAAAUCCCUCGGCUUAACCGAGGAACUGCCGUCCAAACUGCUUCGCUUGAGACCGGGAGAGGUGAGUGGAAUUCCCAGUGUAGCGGUGAAAUGCGUAGAUAUUGGGAGGAACACCAGUGGCGAAGGCGGCUCACUGGACCGGUACUGACGCUGAUGCGCGAAAGCGUGGGGAGCAAAGCGGG